rnacentral:tRNA from 1 species
GUCAGGAUGGCCGAGCGGUCCAAGGCGCCAGACUCAAGGACUGAAUCCUUCCUGGUCAAAGGGACUUCUGGUCUCCAAAUGGAGGCGUGGGUUCAAAUCCCACUCCUGACA